CGAGGGGCAGCAUGGAAGUUGCUUGCAACUUCUGAUGGCGACCGGCGAAUGGGUGAGUAACGCGUAUCCAACCUGCCCUGUGCCCGGGAAUAGCCCUUGGAAACGAGGAUUAACGCCCGAUGGCGUGCGAUGACCGCAUGGGAAAUGCACUAAAUGCGAAGGCACGGGAUGGGGAUGCGUUCCAUUAGGUUGUUGGCGGGGUAACGGCCCACCAAGCCUUCGAUGGAUAGGGGUUCUGAGAGGAAGGUCCCCCACAUUGGAACUGAGACACGGUCCAAACUCCUACGGGAGGCAGCAGUGAGGAAUAUUGGUCAAUGGGCGGAAGCCUGAACCAGCCAAGUAGCGUGAGGGAUGACGGCCCUACGGGUUGUAAACCUCUUUUAUGCGGGGAUAAAGUGCUCCACGCGUGGAGUUUUGCAGGUACCGCAUGAAUAAGGACCGGCUAAUUCCGUGCCAGCAGCCGCGGUAAUACGGAAGGUCCGGGCGUUAUCCGGAUUUAUUGGGUUUAAAGGGAGCGCAGGCGGAGGGUCAAGUCAGCCGUAAAAUCGUCCUGCUCAACAGGAUCCCGCGGUUGAAACUGGUCCCCUUGGGUGCACAAGAGGCACGCGGAACUCGUGGUGUAGCGGUGAAAUGCAUAGAUAUCACGAAGAACGCCGAUUGCGAAGGCAGCGUGCUGGGGUGUAACCGACGCUCACGCUCGAAGGCGCGGGUAUCAAACAGGAUUAGAUACCCUGGUAGUCCGCGCAGUAAACGAUGGAUGC
rnacentral:rRNA from 1 species